AACGAACGCUGGCGGCGUGCCUAAUACAUGCAAGUCGAGCGAAUGGAUUAAGAGCUUGCUCUUAUGAAGUUAGCGGCGGACGGGUGAGUAACACGUGGGUAACCUGCCCAUAAGACUGGGAUAACUCCGGGAAACCGGGGCUAAUACCGGAUAACAUUUUGAACCGCAUGGUUCGAAAUUGAAAGGCGGCUUCGGCUGUCACUUAUGGAUGGACCCGCGUCGCAUUAGCUAGUUGGUGAGGUAACGGCUCACCAAGGCAACGACGCGUAGCCGACCUGAGAGGGUGAUCGGCCACACUGGGACUGAGACACGGCCCAGACUCCAACGGGAGGCAGCAGUAGGGAAUCUUCCGCAAUGGACGAAAGUCUGACGGAGCAACGCCGCGUGAGUGAUAAAGGCUUUCGGGUCGUAAAACUCUGUUGUUAGGGAAGAACAAGUGCUAGUUGAAUAAGCUGACACCUUGACGGUACCUAACCAGAAAGCCACGGCUAACUACGUGCCAGCCGCCGCGGUAA
rnacentral:rRNA from 1 species